GUGACCGCUCUAUGGAUGAUCCUUCUAACUUUAGAGAUGGAAAUCAGUCUAUUGAGAAGAGAAGAGUCCAGAAGGAGAGAGCGGACUCCCCUGGACCCAGCUGUGUCUCCUUGAAGAGCGACCACUCUAUGUAUCAUCCUCCUGAACUUAAAGAUAGACGCCCCUCCAGAGAGGAAGGAGUCCAGAAGGAGAGAGUGGACUCCCCUGGACCCAGCUGUGUCUCCUUGAAGAGCGACCGGUCUAUGGAUCGUCCUCCUGGACUUAAAGAUGGACACCCCUCCAGAGAGGAGAGGCGACCACAGGAGAGGUCAAAGGUUACCAGUGCUCAGUCUGUACAGCAGCAUCAAGCAGAGCUGAUCAAGGUG